UAGUCAUAUGCUUGUCCCAAAGAUUAAGCCAUGCAUGUCCAAGUAUAUACCUAUAUACGGUGAAACUGCGAAAGGCUCAUUAAAUCGGUGAUAAUUUAGGUGGAGGAGAGUGUUACAUGGAUAACCGUGGUAAUUCUAUGGCUAAUACAUGCGUGUUGCUCGCGAGAGCGAUGGUAUUUAUUAGAUAAAACCGAAUUGACGCAAGUCAAGUUUGAGGAAUCAUAAUAACUGACAAUGAUCGUAGGGCCUUGGGCUGACGACACUCCACACAAAUUUCUGCCCCAUCAACUUUUGAUGGUAGGAUAGGGGCCUACCAUGGUGGUAACGGGUAACGGGGAAUUGGGGUUUGAUUCCGGAGAGGGAGCCUGAGAAAUGGCUACCACUUCCAAGGAAGGCAGCAGGCGCGCAAAUUACCCAAUCCCGAGACGGGGAGGUAGUGACAGUACAUAACAAAGAUGGUCUCUACGAGACUGUCUAUUGGAAUGAGAGGAAGAUAAAGAGAUUUUCGAGUAACGAUU
rnacentral:rRNA from 1 species